ensembl:lncRNA
CCAAGGUUGAAAUUGAAGGAUAUCUUCAGCCCCUUCCAAAAUUUCAGAUACAUCAUGAUCAUCACAAAUAUUUUACAGCCUUAAUACAGGAGAUGGAAAAAAACAGUCAUGUAGUGGUGUUUGAUCUUCAAAGACAUAAUGUGUUUUGCAGUGUGGAGAAAGACAGAGGCGCCUCCUGCUGUCAGAGAGAGAAUCUGCAUCUCAUUCAGAGCUUCUGCUGUUUGUUUCCUUCAGGUGAAUGUUACCAUCAAAGUUUUGCAGUUGUCUGAAGAUAGACCAGGCAUGACCCGUAGCCACCAAAGAAUGGCCAGGCGAUCGUAUGAUGUCCACACCAGACAAGCAGCAUCUAAUUGACAGUCUGGGGUGGUGAUGGGUUGCAAGUUGGCAAGUGGUAUAGACUGACUAAUACAUCUAUUUUCGGAAAUUUGGUGGAUGUACGUGUUUGAAGGUGAAACUGUCACAGCGGACGUGAAGGUACCCAAGACAGCAUCCUUUAUCUUCAGUGAAUCUGGCAACAUCACUUACCAGAUGUCCGCAAUGUGAUGCAUUUUGCCAUACAUCCAAAUAAAGUGUAUUUGUGGAGUUUGGUACAAUGUGUAAUUUUUUAUAGUUUUUAUAGAUGUAAACUUUGACUUGAAGUGUUUGGGAGGUAGUUAUCUGAGACAACUAUAAUGGUUUAGCUGAAUAAGAGAGUUAAAAAGCAGUGAAUGUUUUAUUUCUUUUUUUUACAACACUGUAUUAAUCAGUCAUAUUGUAAUUGUACAAUAUUACAGACAUUUAGCAUUUAGUCUAAUUAUAAGGGUGUUAUAUUGCUGUUGUUUUCUUUUUUUAUUACAAAUAUCAUAAUCAGUUGUUUGGUACUAAAUGUGUACUACUUUAGGAUUUUCUGCAAAUUUCCUCUUGAUUACUGUUAUUUGUUUAUGUGCAAUGUUGAGAAAAAGAGCAUCUUGAAAGAGGAGUUCUUUAGAUGCUUGAGUUUUUUGACAAAUGUGUAAAUUGUUAUUAAGUUAUUUUUGGAAAGGUUUUGUUUUGUGUAAAUUUUCUUUAUAGUUGUGAUUGUAUACUUAAUAAGAGCCCUUUAUUUAACAUUGUCAAAUUGCAUAUGUUGAGUAAUUGCUAUGUGCCUAUUAGCAAAGAUUUUCUUAAAGGUUGCUAAAGUUAACGGUUAUAUUUUUGUUUAAUAUUCAGGGAAAGGGACUAAAAAAAUUGUUUAAAUUUCUGCAGAUUUUUAC